GGGAAGGGGUGACUAGUGACAGAGUGAGAGGAUGACUGGUGACAGAGGGAGGGAGUGACUAGUGACACAGGGAGGUAGUGACAGAGUGAGGGAGGGGGUGACUGUCACUAGUCACCCCAUCACUCUCUCUGUCACUAGUCACUCCCUCCCUAACUGUCACCGUGUCACCCGCUCCCUCACUCUGUCACUAGUCACCCCCUCCCUUUGUCACUGUGUCACCCCCUCCCUCUGUCCCUAGCCACCCCUUCCCUCACUCUGUCACUAAUCACACCCUCUGUCCC